AGUGAACGCUGGCGGCAGGCCUAACACAUGCAAGUCGAACGGCAGCACAGGAGAGCUUGCUCUCUGGGUGGCGAGUGGCGGACGGGUGAGGAAUACAUCGGAAUCUACCUUUUCGUGGGGGAUAACGUAGGGAAACUUACGCUAAUACCGCAUACGACCUUAGGGUGAAAGCGGAGGACCUUCGGGCUUCGCGCGGAUAGAUGAGCCGAUGUCGGAUUAGCUAGUUGGCGGGGUAAAGGCCCACCAAGGCGACGAUCCGUAGCUGGUCUGAGAGGAUGAUCAGCCACACUGGAACUGAGACACGGUCCAGACUCCUACGGGAGGCAGCAGUGGGGAAUAUUGGACAAUGGGCGCAAGCCUGAUCCAGCCAUGCCGCGUGGGUGAAGAAGGCCUUCGGGUUGUAAAGCCCUUUUGUUGGGAAAGAAAGACUCGGGAGCUAAUCAUCUCGAGAGUGACGGUACCGUUAAAGGAAGCCACGGCUAACUCUGUGCCAGCCGCCGCAGUAAAAC
rnacentral:rRNA from 1 species